UCCCUGGUGGUCCAGUGGUUAAGACUCUGCACUUGCACUGCAGGGGGCAUGGGUUCGAUUCCUGGUCAGGGAA